CGUAGGGGCAAGCGUUGUCCGGAUUUAUUGGGCGUAAAGGGCGCGCAGGCGGCCUUUUAAGUCAGAUGUGAAAGGUCUCGGCUCAACCGAGGAGUUGCAUCUGAAACUGGGAGGCUUGAGUGCAGGAGAGGAGAGUGGAAUUCUCGGUGUAGCGGUGGAAUGCGUAGAGAUCGGGAGGAACACCAGUGGCGAAGGCGACUCUCUGGCCUGUAACUGACGCUGAGGCGCGAAAGCGUGGGUAGCGAACAGGAUU
rnacentral:rRNA from 1 species